rnacentral:rRNA from 1 species
UAGUCAAUGCUCGCAAGAGUGAACUAGCUAACUGGAAUCAUGAGUGUGUCACUCAUGAUAAGGUAAAGGAAAAAUUAUGAUGUCACUUUACUAUUAGUGUUGUCCAAAGCUGGUGCCAGAAGACUCGGUAAGGCCAGAGACGCAAGCGUUAGUCAUCCUGAUCAGGCGUAAAGGGUUUGUAGGCAGCUUUAAAUUAAUUAAAGAUAGAAUCAUAUAGAGGUCACAGUCAGAUAAUUCUUAGAGUAGGGUUGAUAUCUGUAGAUACUAAGAGGAAUACUUAUUAGCGAAGGCACUUUUCCAAAUUAUGAUUGACGCUGAGAAACGAAGGGGAGGAUAGAUAAUAGGAUUAGAUACCCUGGUAUUCCUCUCUGUCAACGAUGAAUGGUAGUUGCUAGUAUACUAUAUUAGUGGCGAUGCUAACGCGUUAACCAUUCCGCCUUGUGAGUACGAUUGCAAAAUUGAAAACAAAAAAAUUAGUCGGUUUCGGAGCAAACGAAGUGAAGCAUGUUAUUU